rnacentral:rRNA from 1 species
ACCUCACUGCUAUCGGGGUGAGACUAAGCCAUGCAAGUCUAGGCCCAUAGCCAUCUGUGGGCCUGGCGUACGGCUCAGUAACACGUGGCCAACCUACCCCGAGGAGGCGGAUAACCCCGGGAAACUGGGGUAUAAACCGCCAUAGGUGAGGGGUUCUGGAACGACCCUUCGCUGAAAGACGUGCGCGGGGAUGCCUGUGCACGUGCCUCGGGAUGGGGCUGCGGCCCAUCAGGUAGUUGGUGGGGUAACGGCCCACCAAGCCUAUAACGGGUACGGGCCCUGAGAGGGGGAGCCCGGAGAUGGACUCUGAGACAAGGGCCCAGGCCCUAUGGGGCGCAGCAGGCGCGAAACCUCCGCAAUGGGCGAAAGCCCGACGGGGUUAGUCCGAGUGGCCCCUGCUGAAGGGGCCUUUUGCCAGCUGUAAAAAGGCUGGCGAAUAAGGGGUGGGCAAGUUUGGUGUCAGCCGCCGCGGUAAUACCAGCACCCCGAGUGGUCGGGACGAUUAUUGGGCCUAAAGCAUCCGUAGCCGGCUUAGUAAGUCCUCCGUUAAAUCCAACGGCUUAACCGUUGGGCUGCGGGGGAUACUGCUAAGCUAGGGGGCGGGAGAGGCGAGGGGUAUUCCCAGGGUAGGGGUAAAAUCCGUUGAUCCUGGGAGGACCACCAGUGGCGAAGGCGCCUCGCUAGAACGCGCCCGACGGUGAGGGAUGAAAGCUGGGGGAGCGAACCGGAUUAGAUACCCGGGUAGUCCCAGCCGUAAACGAUGUAGGCUCGAUGUUGGGUUACCCAAGUGGUAACCCAGUGUCGCAGGGAAGCCGUUAAGCCUACCGCCUGGGGAGUACGGCCGCAAGGCUGAAACUUAAAGGAAUUGGCGGGGGAGCACCACAAGGGGUGAAGCCUGCGGUUU